rnacentral:lncRNA from 1 species
UCCGGAGCUCUCCGCCUGCAGGGCCUGGAGGCUCCUGGGCGGGGCCACUGACCUGCUCAUCUCGGGCCAGGAGCAUCCUUGCUGUCCUGGGCCCUCCAGGCCUCUGCCUGUCCCGGGGGGAGGCUGGAUCCUGGGCUGUGUCCCGGCGCCCUGUGCUCCCGGUCUGCGCUGUUGUAUUCGUGCUCCCGCCUCGCAGUCCCCUCUGCACGGAGCCUCUUCCUCCGCCCGAGUCCCUCCGAGCUGCUCUCGGGUCCAGCUGUGUGCGCUGCAGCCCUUAGGGAGCUCGGCGCACUCUCCCCGGGGCGCAGUUCCUCCGGGACGGGGCUCUCCUGUCCUGGGGACACUCGCCCCGGCCUCAGCCCGGCUCCCCACGGGGCCCCUCCCCCUUGGAUGCCUUUUGUUUCUUUAUUUCUUCCCCCCCCCGCCCUCCCCCCGUCUUCCUACUUUGAUAGAAGCGCGAACUCUUCUCACUGUAGCAUUCCAGCUGUUCUCUCUUUAAAUCUCUGGCCGAAUUCAUAGAUUUUCAGGAUAAUUUGAAGGUUAUCUAGGUAAUUUGGUGGGGACAGGUGAUUUGGAGACCCUACUCUUCUGCCAUCUUGCCCCUCCUCCUCGGGUUAUGCUUUGUCCUCAGUUUACCUUCUGCUCCCUCAUCAACUGGACGAUAAACAAACAUGGAUCUUUACCCAUAAUUUUAAAUCUGCAGCAAUACAUCCCUCUAGUUCACUUGGGCCCACGAAUUUUAUAGUGCGUUUGAAAAUCAUAUUACUUAUCUACACAGAGUCCCUACUCUUCCCCCACAAAUUUUGGCCAGGGCCUCACACACCCUGAGGACAGCUGUGCUUAGAGCUGAACCCAAGGUCGUGUCUUGUGUCUCUUGACCUGGUUGGGCUUUGGACCUGGAUUCUCUUCCUUGGCUCCUGGAGUGCUCCCGCGUGGCAGGAGCAGACAGAGGGGGCUGGGCCUCUUCCUCCCUCCUCCUCCUCGAGGCUGUAAAGUAUCACCUGGCAGAGACUCGUCCCCCCGGGGUUGAAGCGCGGCCCAAGGGACGGGGUUGGUGCUAUGUCCAGCAAGCCUUUGCUUUAGCACGUGAUUUCUUAAUGUUGCUGCCUCUGUACCCUGUGCCCUACCCCCAGGGCUGCCACGUCCUCUUCUGCAUGGCAGACGGAGCUCCAGUUAGCUGCCCAAAGUGACUCAGAUCACGGAGAUGCCACCUCCCGGAGCAAGUGGGCUGGCUCUUUAAUAGAAUUAUGGCUCGGAGUAACUAUAAUUCAAGUAAACAAUGGAUUUAGGGGGAGAAUCGGGGAGAAGAGGGAAAUGAGGUGUUAGGGCGGAGCAGAAGGAGCAACUAGCAGCACGAGGGUUCAGGCUGGGCGCGGCAGCUUCACCUGCCACGGGGGGACUUCAGGAGGCGCCGAGAAGCUCUCCGUCCCUGACGGGAGCCUCGUAUUUGGAACCAGAUCCUCGUAAACUGACUGUGCAUUUCUAUCUAUAAGGAUAUAAGACUUUUAGCUUCAAACAAUUAGUGAGAUUUUCAGUACCUGUAUAAGACGACAC